rnacentral:misc_RNA from 1 species
GGCUAGCGAUGCGCCAAUGACAAAUCUUGAGUGAUAAAUCGUGAGUUAGUCUUCAAUAAUAAUUAUCUUUUCAUGUUGUUACUGUGCAGUCGUUAAAAACGAGGAAACUUUUCAAUAAUAAAAUAUACCGGAUAGGAACGGAAUUUGGAAAAGGUGAGGAUCAGGAGAGGAAUAAUAAUAAAAUAAUAAUAAAAAGAGGAAGUUAAAUUUUAAUAUCAUUAGUAUUAAUAAACAUACUUAAUAAACGAUAGACUGAAGGAUUAUUUGAAGAUAAAAGGAUCUGGAUAGAAGUAGGAAAAGGAAUGUGUAAAUGUGUAAGUCCCUGAAAAAGUUGAGCAUUAUCAUAUUUAGGACAAUUCAGGAAGAUGUGAUCCACAUCCUCCACCUCACCACACUCACAUAAAGCACUGUCCACUAUAUGAAAUUUAGCUAGAUGAGCAGACGUACAAACGUGACCUAAUCUCAUACGAGUCAGGAUGCACGAUGCCGUCUUGCCCAACAGCAACCGCGAGAACCAGGGUUUUGCAGGAAUUUCACGUUGGAUAGAUGCGAAAUAUUUUCCUUUUGUUUGAGAACUGACAGACCACACUUCCCUCCACGAAUCACGUAGAUACACUCUGGGUAGAGCAAGAAGGUCAUGAGGGUAGAUUUUAUAGUAAGCCAUAUCUCCACAAUCAAUGGCGUCAUUAGCAAGCCUAUCAGCCUGUUCGUUUCCACGGAUACCCCUAUGUCCCGGAAUCCAGGCAAAAAUAAUCGAUAAUCCCUUUGCAGCACACUGAACAAUCAUGUUUCUGGUUUCUAUUAUCAAUGGACUAAUAAGUUUUGUUUUAAAUAAAAAUUUAGAUAGAGAUUGUAGAGCGCUCAUUGAGUCUGAAAAGAUUAUAGUUUUCCUAAGUUUUGCUAAAAGUACAUACUCAACCGCUUUAUACAGACCAAAAACUUCACCAGUAAAAACAGAACUCUCAGGAGGUAAUUUAAUCUUUUGAACUAUAUCGUAUUGUGAGUGAUAUAUGCCAACACCUACUUUAUUAUCUGUGGAUCGUUUGGACGCAUCACUAAAAACAUGAUGCCAACUGUCAGUGCUAUUGUCAAAUUCCGUGUCUAGAACGAAAUUGAAAACAUUGGAUGCCUCAAAAGUUUGUUUAGUUAUACCCAAGUUUAAACGAACAUCAGGUUUAUAAACAAGGGAUUCAUAGUUUGAGGUGUAAAGAGGGAAGCAUAUUGAGUUGUGAAUAGGCGUAUCAAUUGCCAGUAAUUUUUGAAAACUGUUAAUUAAACAAGGAGUGCAUUUAUGAGUCCAGUAACUUGAGGAGUUGACUUCUUCAGAGAGGAUUUUUAGCUUGGUUAAAAGUGGAUGGUCACCUAGUUGUAAACAACGGUAUAAAUAACUAUCUGAAAGAAACUGCCGCCUCAGUUGUAAAGGGGGUUCAACACACUCGACUUGCAUUGCAUUAAUAGGGCUAGUCUUCAUUGCGCCCAGAACAAUCCUUAAAGCUACCGAUUGAAUUUUAUCUAGUUUAUUUAAAGCAGCAGCACUACAUGGUUCCAGCAAAAAAGAUCCAUAAUCAAUCACACUCCUGAUUAGUGCAUUAUAAAUGAUUCUCAGAGAAGUAGGAUGAGCGCCCCACCAUACACCUCUGAGGCAUUUAAUAAUAUUAAGAUUCCUUUCACAUUUAGCCUCAAUAUAAUUGCAAUGUGGGAUACCAGUAAGUUUGGAAUCCAGUAUAACUCCUAAAAACUUACAUUGUAAACUUACAGGCAUGGGGAUAUUAUCAUAGAAAACAUUAAUUUCAGGGGGAGAUCUCAUACGAGAAAAAAGCACUACAUUGCUUUUGGAAACGGAUAAUUCUAAGCCAUUAUCAUUCAGCCAACCCUUCAAUAAACCAAGAGAUGUUGUAAGUGUGUUACAUAAAUUAGAAACAGAUUUACCUGAACAAUACAAUAAAAGAUCAUCUGCAUACUGUAAAAUGUUAACUGAGUUACUUAAGGAAUCCUCUAAAUCAUAAGUAUAUACAUUAUAUAGUAAAGGGCUCAGCACUGAGCCUUGAGGUAAGCCCUGCCAAACAACUCUAGAUAUCUGGGACCCAUCUAGUGUAACACUUAUAGAUCUCUCUGACAGCAUUCUAAUAAUAAAUGAAGUGAGCAUUUCCGGAACAUUUAAUGAUUUUAAUUUCUUAAGAAGAAUAGAAAUAACAACAUUAUCAUAGGCACCUUUAAUGUCUAAAAAAGCAGAGAGGAUGGAUUCAUUUUUUGAAAAUGCCAGUCUAAUGUCAGUCAUAAACAGACUCAAACUAUCAGAAGUACUUCUGCCCUUUCUGAAGCCGAACUGACUUUCAGAGAGCAAUCUAUUGCUUUCUAAAUACCAUUCUAGCCUAUUUUUGACUAAAUGUUCUGCCAAUUUGGCCAGUACAGAAGAUAAAACAACAGGUCGGUAAGAAGAAGCGUCAGAAGGAGGUUUCUUUGGUUUUAAGAUAGGUAUUACUAACUGGGACCUCCAUGAGAGAGGAAUGUUGCCAGACAACAUAAUAGAAUUUAUAAUAUUUAAGAAGUAAUUUAAAGUUUUAUCACUGCUGUUACAGAAAAAGGAAUAGGGUAUACCGUCUUGACCGGGUGACGUGUCAAUUAAACUUGUUAAAAUGCCUUUAAUUUCAGACAUGGAAAAAGGUGAAUUUAAUCCUGAUAAAUUAUUAGAAAUUGAAGUUGGCAAGCACUGAAUUUGUAACUCAGGAACUGAAGAAGGAGCUAGAUUAUCUAGGAAUUGUUCAGCUAGCUCUGAAGAUAAAGAGCCUCUAGAUGAUGGAUUAACACCCAUCCUGAAUCUCCUAACGCUUUGCCAAACAACAGAAACAUUAACAUCUGGACAAAUAUUAUUACAGAAUCUUCUCCACCCCUCAAACUUCUUCUUUUUCAAAAAUUUACGAGUGUCCCGUGCCACUUGACAGUAAAGCUCAUAGUUCACAGAUGUCAUUAAACAGGAAUAAACCCUUUCUGCUUCCCUCCUUCUUUUUAUAGCCUCUGUGCACUCGUUGUCCCACCAAGGUGGACAGGGGAUUUUUCUGGAGCCGCCCACUUUAAUUGGGAAUAAAGCAUCUGCAACCUCAAUCAUGACUUUGACAAGAGCCUCAGAGCAAGCCAUCUCAUUACCCAUACAGACAGAAGGGAGGUUUGAAACUUUACUGUCAACUUGCUGACUAAAUGCAGACCAAUCACUAGGUUUUUUAUCAGCAGCACUUCUACAAUUCCACUGUAGGAGUACCUGAUCCAUUAUUGGGAUUGAUAGACACAGUGUUUUCAAUUAGUUGGGCAACGUGGGACGGUAUAGAAUUGAGCAGAACCAUUUGGUGAAGAUAGAGGUAUAUCAUAAUCUUUUAUUAGAGAUGCAUGUGCAGCCCGGUCAUACCCAGCCGAAGGCGUAGGAGGAGCACGAGGCUUAAGGAAAACUGUUUUUUUAUAUGAGCUGGAAGAUGGGGACAAUCGAGCUGCUGGGUUAGCAGCCUCAUCUUGAGAUUGUUUAUGUUGCGAAGUUCUAAGAACGUCAGCAAAAGAUUUGGAGACAACGGGGUGUAAUUUGGAAGCCUCUAAAUAUGAGAUGCAGUUUUGAGCCAUUGACACUUUGAUAUUUUUUUGUCGGGAAAAUUCAGGACAAGCCUUACUAGUGGCAAAAUGAUAACCAGAACAAAGACAGCAUGAUCCAUCCUCUUGUUCUACUGAACAAGAUUCGGCAGUGUGACCUUGCCCACAUUUAUAACAGCGAGGCUUGGAGCGGCAUUGAGCCUUUGUAUGACCAAAACGGCAGCAGCUGUAACAUUGAAUGGUUGGAUAAAUGUACAAGUCGACAGUCAAUGGAGUAUAGCACAUAAACACACGUUUUGGUAGUACUUGUCCAUCGAAAGUUAAAACAACUGUUUCAGUGUUAGUAAAUUCUGGAGACCCAUUUAUAAUUUUUUUACUUUUAAU